AUGUUCGUUAUUAGUACAAAUAUUGGGUUUGUUUUUUAUUAUUACAGUUUCAGGCUUUCAGCUCAGGAGGGAAGAGAUGGAACUAUUUUUCGUCACAUUCUGCUGCCGGUGUUUGCAGAGAGCUUUCUAGAAUUUCAACGGACUGCUUCAUGUUGUGCAUCGAAAAUGAAAUCAACUGGUUCGAGAAUUAGCCAGAAUUCACAAUUAUGUUUCUGCUUUAAGCAUGAUAGUGAAAGGAGCACAUCACACUGUCACAAUAUAUUCGUCAAGCACGGCAAGUGGCAGUUAGUUUACACUUUACACCAGCCAGUGUUAUGUUGA
rnacentral:rRNA from 1 species